GCCCCGCUAGUCUAGCCAGGUCAAGGAUCCAGGCCUUUCGAGCCUGGGACCCGGGUUCAAAUCCCGGGCGGGGCA
rnacentral:tRNA from 1 species